rnacentral:tRNA from 1 species
GAGUGGGUAGCUCAGUGGUAGAGCGCAUGCCUGGCAAGCAUGAGGUCCUGAGUUCAAUCCCCAGUACAUCUA